GUCCUUUUGUUAAUUAAUUUAAGGUCUAACCUGCCCACUGAAUUUUAAAUGGCCGCAGUAUUAUGACUGUGCAAAGGUAGCAUAAUCAUUAGUUUUUUAAUUAAAAGCUUGUAUGAAAGGUUGGACGAGAUAGAUUCUGUCUCUAUUUAAUUUAAAUUAGAAUUUAAUUUUUAAGUUAAAAAGCUUAAAUAAAUUUAAAAGACGAGAAGACCCUAUAGAUCUUUAUAAUUUAUUAAUUAGUUUUGAUUAAGAUUUUUUUAAACAUUAGUUUUAUAAAUUAUUUUAUUGGGGUAAUAAAAAGAUUAAAAUAAUUCUUUUUAAUUAUUUACAUUAAUUUAUGAAUUUUUGAUCCAGUUUUAUUGAUUAUAAGAUUAAGUUACCUUAGGGAUAACAGCGUAAUUUUUUUAGAGAGUUCCUAUCGAUAAAAAAGUUUGCGACCUCGAUGUUGGAUUAAAAUUUAGUUUAGGCGUAGAAGUUUAAAUAUUUGGUCUGUUCGACCAUUAAAAUUUUACAUGAUCUGAGUUCAGACCGGUGUAAGCCAGGUCGGUUUCUAUCUUUAAAAUUUAAAAAUAUUUUAGUACGAAAGGACCAAAUAUUUAAUAUAGAUAUAUUUAAAAAAUUGAAUAUUAUUAA
rnacentral:rRNA from 1 species